rnacentral:rRNA from 1 species
UGGGGAAUCUUCGACAAUGGGGGAAACCCUGAUCUAGCCAUGCCGCGUGAGUGACGAAGGCCCUAGGGUCGUAAAGCUCUUUCGCCAGGGAAGAUAAUGACGGUACCUGGUAAAGAAACCCCGGCUAACUCCGUGCCAGCAGCCGCGGUAAUACGGAGGGGGCUAGCGAUGUUCGGAAUCACUGGGCGUAAAGCGCGCGUAGGCGGUAUUGUAAGUUAGAGGUGAAAGCCCGGGGCUCAACUCCGGAAUUGCCUUUAAGACUGCAACACUAGAAUCCGGGAGAGGUGAGUGGAAUUCCGAGUGUAGAGGUGAAAUUCGCAGAUAUUCGGAAGAACACCAGUGGCGAAGGCGGCUCACUGGACCGGUAUUGACGCUGAGGCGCGAAAGCGUGGGGAGCAAACAGGAUUAGAUACCCCCGUAGUCC